rnacentral:rRNA from 1 species
CUUUGUAUUCGUACNAUNCGUGUCCUAGUGGCGAACGGGUGAGUAACACGUAGGUGACCUGCCCCGAAGCGGGGGACAACUCCGGGAAACUGGAGCUAAUACCCCAUGUUCUCCAUGGUGUUAGAGGACCAUGGAGCAAAGGAGCAAUCCACUUUGGGAGGGGCCUGCGGCCCAUCAGCUAGUUGGUAGGGUAAUGGCCUACCAAGGCUAUGACGGGUAGGGGACCUGAGAGGGUGGUCCCCCACACUGGAACUGAAACACGGACCAGACACCUACGGGUGGCAGCAGUAGGGAAUAUUGCACAAUGGGCGAAAGCCUGAUGCAGCAACGCCGCGUGCGCGAUGAAGGCCUUCGGGUUGUAAAGCGCUUUUCUGGGGGAAGAGGAAGGACGGUACCCCAGGAAUAAGUCUCGGCUAACUACGUGCCAGCAGCCGCGGUAAAACGUAGGAGGCGAGCGUUAUCCGGAUUUACUGGGCGUAAAGCGCGUGUAGGCGGUUAGGUAAGUCGGACGUGAAAGCUCCCGGCUCAACUGGGAGAGGCCGUUCGAAACUACCUGACUUGAGGGCAGUAGAGGGAGGUGGAAUUCAGGGUGUAGCGGUGAAAUGCGUAGAUAUCCUGAGGAACACCAGUGGCGAAGGCGGCCUCCUGGGCUGACCCUGACGCUCAGACGCGAAAGCUAGGGUAGCAAACGGGAUUAGACACCCCGGUAGUCCUAGCUGUAAACGAUGCAGACUUGGUGUUGGCAGUUUGAACACCGUCAGUGCCGUAUU